rnacentral:tRNA from 1 species
GCCUUCGUGAUGUAGUGGUCAGCACAUUUAGCGCGUAUUCGAGAAGGCCGUGGUUCGAGUCCAGGCGAGGGCA